rnacentral:rRNA from 1 species
UGGGUCAACCGCUAUGAUGGCGGGCUGGACCUCUCGGGGUUACAGCCUUGCUGAAUUAUUCACCCUUGUCUUUUGCGUACUUCUUGUUUCCUUGGUGGGUUCGCCCACCACUAGGACAAACAUAAACCUUUUGUAAUUGCAAUCAGCGUCAGUAACAAAUUAAUAAUUACAACUUUCAACAACGGAUCUCUUGGUUCUGGCAUCGAUGAAGAACGCAGCGAAAUGCGAUAAGUAGUGUGAAUUGCAGAAUUCAGUGAAUCAUCGAAUCUUUGAACGCACAUUGCGCCCUUUGGUAUUCCAAAGGGCAUGCCUGUUCGAGCGUCAUUUGUACCCUCAAGCUUUGCUUGGUGUUGGGCGUCUUGUCUCUAGCUUUGCUGGAGACUCGCCUUAAAGUAAUUGGCAGCCGGCCUACUGGUUUCGGAGCGCAGCACAAGUCGCACUCUCUAUCAGCAAAGGUCUAGCAUCCAUUAAGCCUUUUUUUCAACUUUUGACCUCGGAUCAGGUAGGGAUACCCGCUGAACUUAAGCAUAUCAAUAAGGCGGAGGAA